rnacentral:rRNA from 1 species
UGAGUGGCGGACGGGUGAGUAACGCGUGGGCAACCUGCCCUGUACAGGGGGACAACACUUAGAAAUAGGUGCUAAUACCGCAUAACGGGGGGAGCCGCAUGGCACCCCCCUGAAAACUCCGGUGGUACAGGAUGGGCCCGCGUCUGAUUAGCUGGUUGGCAGGGUAACGGCCCACCUAGGCGACGAUCAGUAGCCGGACUGAGAGGUUGACCGGCCACAUUGGGACUGAGAUACGGCCCAGACUCCUACGGGAGGCAGCAG